rnacentral:rRNA from 1 species
UCUUAUGGCCAUACCACUUUAAGCACACCCAAUCUCUGAUCUUGGAAGCUAAGCAGGGUUGGGCCUGGUUGUUGGAUGGGAGRCCACCUAAGAAGACCAGGUGCUGUAACCU